rnacentral:rRNA from 1 species
AGCAGUCGCCACGGUAAUACGGAGGGUGCAAGCGUUAAUCGGAAUUACUGGGCGUAAAGCGCACGCAGGCGGUCUGACAAGUCAGAUGUGAAAUCCCCGGGCUUAACCUGGGAACUGCAUUUGAAACUGUCAGGCUGGAGUCUUGUAGAGGGGGGUGGAAUUCCAGGUGUAGCGGUGAAAUGCGUAGAGAUCUGGAGGAAUACCGGUGGCGAAGGCGGCCCCCUGGACAAAGACUGACGCUCAGGUGCGAAAGCGUGGGGAGCAAACAGGAUUAGAUACCCGAGUAGUCCCUGUCUCUUAUAU